UAUUGAACGCAUAUUGCGGCCACGGGUCCGUCCUGUGGCCACGCCCGUCUGAGGGUCGGCGACGUUGUACCCAUCGCUGGGGGGGCAGCGCGUUGAGCUUUCGUAGCCGAAGAAAGGCUCCGUGGCUUGAAAUGCAGACCCACAAAGAAGUCCUCARAAAACAUCGCUGUCCUCGUGCGAGCAAAGGACAUGGCCCGGAUCGUUUGUAACUGUCUUUGCGAGCGAGCGGUGUUGGAACGAGAGAUUCCCAUUUCCGACCUCAGAUCGGACGAGAUUACCCGCUGAAUUUAAGCAUAUCAC
rnacentral:rRNA from 1 species